rnacentral:rRNA from 1 species
ACCCGCUGAACUUAAGCAUAUCAAUAAGCGGAGGAAAAGAAACCAACAGGGAUUGCCCUAGUAACGGCGAGUGAAGCGGCAACAGCUCAAAUUUGAAAUCUGGCGCAAGCCCGAGUUGUAAUUUGUAGAGGAUGCUUCUGGGCAGCGGCCGGUCUAAGUUCCUUGGAACAGGACGUCACAGAGGGUGAGAAUCCCGUAUGUGACCGGCGCGCACCCUCCACGUAGCUCCUUCGACGAGUCGAGUUGUUUGGGAAUGCAGCUCUAAAUGGGAGGUAAAUUUCUUCUAAAGCUAAAUACCGGCCAGAGACCGAUAGCGCACAAGUAGAGUGAUCGAAAGAUGAAAAGCACUUUGGAAAGAGAGUUAAAAAGCACGUGAAAUUGUUGAAAGGGAAGCGCUUGCAACCAGACUCCGUGGCGGUGUUCCGCCGGUCUUCUGACCGGUCCACUCGCCGCCGCGGGGCCAACAUCGUCUGGGGCCGCCGGACAAGACUGGAGGAAUGUGGCUCCCUCGGGAGUGUUAUAGCCUUCAGUGAUGCGGCGCGUCCCGGGCGAGGUCCGCGCUUCGGCAAGGAUGUUGGCGUAAUGGUUGCCAGCGGCGCGUCUUGAAACACGGACCAAGGAGUCUAACAUCUAUGCGAGUGUUCGGGUGUCAAACCCCUACGCGUAAUGAAAGUGAACGGAGGUGGGAGCUUCGGCGCACCAUCGACCGAUCCUGAUGUCCUCGGAUGGAUUUGAGUAAGAGCAUAGCUGUUGGGACCCGAAAGAUGGUGAACUAUGCCUGAAUAGGGUGAAGCCAGAGGAAACUCUGGUGGAGGCUCGCAGCGGUUCUGACGUGCAAAUCGAUCGUCAAAUUUGGGUAUAGGGGCGAAAGACUAAUCGA